CAUGAAGCUGGAAUUGCUAGUAAUCACAGGUCAGCAUACUGUGGUGAAUACGUUCCCGGGCCUUGUACACACCGCCCGUCACACCAUGAGAGUUGAGAAUACCCGAAGCCCAUGUCAAAGUGGUCGAAGGUAGGCUUGAUGAUUGGGGUGAAGUCGUAACAAGGUAGC
rnacentral:rRNA from 1 species